ncrna:unclassified sequences Streptococcus sRNA SpF59 (ldcC RNA)
GGACCACUCCCACAAGGAGCCUAAGGCCAUACGGACAGCCGGGUCCACUGCCGA